rnacentral:tRNA from 1 species
UGUGGCUGAGCAGUAAAGCGCUUGACUUCCGAACGAGGGUCCCGGGUUCAAACCCUGGUGACACAG